rnacentral:rRNA from 1 species
UGCAACGAGAAGCACCCUACGUGGCUUCGACAUAGUAAGAACUUUACAGAGAUGGAUUGGCGCUUUCGGGAACUUACAUACAGGUGCUGCAUGGCUGUUGUCAGCUCGUGUCGUGAGAUGUUGGGUUAAGUCCCGCAACGAGCGCAACCCUUUUCCUUAUUUGCCAGCGAGUAAUGUCGGGAACUUUAAGGAUACUGCCAGUGACAAACUGGAGGAAGGCGGGGACGACGUCAAGUCAUCAUGGCCCUUACGGCCAGGGCUACACACGUGCUACAAUGGUCGGUACAAAGGGUUGCUACCUAGCGAUAGGAUGCUAAUCUCAAAAAGCCGAUCGUAGUCCGGAUUGGAGUCUGCAACUCGACUCCAUGAAGUCGGAAUCGCUAGUAAUCGCGGAUCAGAAUGCCGCGGUGAAUACGUUCCCGGGCCUUGUACACACCGCCCGUCACACCCAUGGGAGUUUGUUGCACCCAGAAGUAGCUAGCCCUAAAAU